rnacentral:rRNA from 1 species
GACGAACGCUGGCGGCGUGCCUAAUACAUGCAAGUUGAGCGCUGAAGGUUGGUACUUGUACCCACUGGAUGAGCAGCGAACGGGUGAGUAAAGCGUGGGGAAUCUGCCUUUGAGCGGGGGACAACAUUUGGAAACGAAUGCUAAUACCGCAUAAAAACUUUAAACACAAGUUUUAAGUUUGAAAGAUGCAAUUGCAUCACUCAAAGAUGAUCCCGCGUUGUAUUAGCUAGUUGGUGAGGUAAAGGCUCACCAAGGCGAUGAUACAUAGCCGACCUGAGAGGGGUAGCCGCCACAUUGGGAACGGGACCAGGCUCAAGACUCUAAGGGAGGGAGGAGGAGGGAAUCUUCGGGCAAUGGCGGAAGGCUGGACGAGGAACGGCGGGGGAGGGGAGAAGGGUCUCGGAUUGGUAAAACCUGUUGGUAGAGGAGAAAGAAGGUGAGAGUGGAAAGCGCAUGAAGUGACGGUAACUACCCAGAAAGGGACGGCUAACUACGUG